CCAACAGGGAUUCCCUUAGUAACGGCGAGUGAACCGGGAAAAGCUCAAAUUUGAAAUCUGCCAACAGGCCGAGUUGUAAUUUGUAGAUGGCUACACUGCAUAAUAGUAGAUGCUCAAGUUCUUUGGAAAAAGACAUCAUGGAGGGUGACAAUCCCGUGAGGCAUGUUACUAGGAGCAUAUAGUGGGCUUUCUAAGAGUCGAGUUGUUUGGGAAUGCAGCUCAAAGUGCGUGGUGAAUACCAUGUAAAGCUAAAUAUGGACGAGAGACCGAUAGCGAACAAGUACUGUGAAGGAAAGAUGAAAAGCACUCCGAAAGGAGAGUGAAAUAGUACGUGAAAUUGUUAAAGUGGAAGGGCUUGAGAUCAGAAUUGGUAGUUUGGGUUCCACGUCCUCUUGGGGGCGUGUACUCCCUUUCCACCGGGCCAGCGGGAGUUUCGUCUCUUGGGUAAAAGCAGUGGAAUGUAGCAGCUUGUCUGUAUUAUAGCCUCUGUUCAUACAAGACGUCGAGACUUGAUUUGUUGGCGUAAUGAUCUCUAGCCACCCGUCUUGAAACACGGACCUCCUGUGUGA
rnacentral:rRNA from 1 species